UGGGGAAUAUUGCACAAUGGAGGAAACUCUGAUGCAGCGACGCCGCGUGGAGGAAGAAGGUUUUCGGAUCGUAAACUCCUGUUGUCGGGGACGAUAAUGACGGUACCCGACAAGAAAGUGACGGCUAACUACGUGCCAGCAGCCGCGGUAAAACGUAGGUCACAAGCGUUGUCCGGAAUUACUGGGUGUAAAGGGAGCGCAGGCGGGGAGAUAAGUUGGGAGUGAAAACUAUGGGCUCAACCCAUAAAUUGCUUUCAAAACUAUCUUUCUUGAGUAGUGCAGAGGUAGGCGGAAUUCCCGGUGUAGCGGUGGAAUGCGUAGAUAUCGGGAGGAACACCAGUGGCGAAGGCGGCCUACUGGGCACCAACUGACGCUGAGGCUCGAAAGUAUGGGUAGCAAACA
rnacentral:rRNA from 1 species